rnacentral:lncRNA from 1 species
AGGGAGAGGUUUUUUUUUUUUGGUUGCUUAAUGCCAACUAAGUAAUGACUAAUAAAUUGAUGCCUAAUGCUGCCUUCUGUCCGGAAGGAUCUCUGCAAGACUUCUGCUUAUUCACUGUCAAAGGAAAGGUGUUAUUUUAGCUCAAGGAAAAUGUCUUGUUUUCAGAACAAACGGCUGUGAAUAAAUGAGGGCCCAGAAAUCGGCAACCAUCAGAGCACACUGGUCUUGGAAAGACUUUCUAAACAAAGCCCGGCAUCCUUCUCGGUGUCCUGUUGCCAAAAAAACCUUCACACGCUCCUGUGUGAAGUCCCUCAGGCCCAUGCUGUUGAUGGCAGUGCUUCAAAGGACUGGUGACGUGAAAGCAGCAAGUUCAUCUUGGUUAAAAUCACACUGAAGGAGGGGACAACGAGGAGCAGCUCCUGUAUUUUCCUCCACUAUCCUGAGCUCCAGGAAAGCAGCCAUGACCAAACUGAGGAUUUUUUUAAGGGCACAGAGGCUGUUUCCUUUACUCAGAGAUGUGCAGUGGGAGUUUCAGUGCCCAUAGUGACCAGGUACACUCCUUCCUGCUACACCCCAGUACUUGGGCUGGGCUACUCAUCCUAAGCUGAGAGAUACCACCUCUGUCAGACCCAAGGCUCCCCAAAACAGUGUCUGAUUGCUGGUAAUUUC